CAUGUCCUUUUGAUUAAAAUUUUAGGUUUAAUCUGCUCAAUGAAAAUUUAAAUUGCCGCAGUAUUUUAACUGUGCAAAGGUAGCAUAAUAAUUAGUUUCUUAAUUAGAAGCUAGAAUGAAUGAUUGGACGAAAAUAUGACUGUCUUUUUUAAGGUUUUAUUGAAUUUUAUUUUUAAGUUAAAAAGCUUAAAUUUUUUUAAAAGACGAGAAGACCCUAUAGAGUUUAAUAAAUUAGUUUUAUUUUUGAUAUAGAAAUUUUUUUAAAAUUAAUUUAUUUGGUUGGGGUGAUUUAAAGAUUUAAAUAAUUCUUUAUAUUAAUGAUUGAUGAUAAUUAAAUUUUUAUUUUAUUAUAAUAAGUUAAAAAUAAAUUACCUUAGGGAUAACAGCGUAAUUUUUCUUUAGAGUUCUUAUUAAAAGAAAAGGUUGCGACCUCGAUGUUGGAUUAAAGUUAAUUUUUGGUGCAAUAAUUAAAAAAUUAGGUCUGUUCGACCUUUAAAACUUUACAUGAUCUGAGUUUAAAUCGGCGUGAGCCAGGUUGGAUUCUAUCUUUAGUAAAAUAAUAUAUAUUAGUACGAAAGGACCAUAUUUAUGUUAAAUAUUAAUUG
rnacentral:rRNA from 1 species